GCCGCAGUCGCAUAACCCGGUAUUGCGCUGGUCUCGAAAACCGGUUUCCGAAAGGAUGUCUCGGUUCAAAUCCGAGCUGCGGCG
rnacentral:tRNA from 1 species